AGUGAACGCUGGCGGUAGGCCUAACACAUGCAAGUCGAACGGCAGCACAGUAAGAGCUUGCUCUUACGGGUGGCGAGUGGCGGACGGGUGAGGAAUACAUCGGAAUCUACUUUUUCGUGGGGGAUAACGUAGGGAAACUUACGCUAAUACCGCAUACGACCUACGGGUGAAAGCAGGAGAUCUUCGGACCUUGCGCGAUUGAAUGAGCCGAUGUCGGAUUAGCUAGUUGGCGGGGUAAAGGCCCACCAAGGCGACGAUCCGUAGCUGGUCUGAGAGGAUGAUCAGCCACACUGGAACUGAGACACGGUCCAGACUCCUACGGGAGGCAGCAGUGGGGAAUAUUGGACAAUGGGCGCAAGCCUGAUCCAGCCAUACCGCGUGGGUGAAGAAGGCCUUCGGGUUGUAAAGCCCUUUUGUUGGGAAAGAAAAGCAGCAGGUUAAUACCCCGCUGUUCUGACGGUACCCAAAGAGUAAGCACCGGCUAACUUCGUG
rnacentral:rRNA from 1 species